UUACUGACUUCUUUAUCGCGGAAGCUUGAGUAUCAACAAGAAUUAGUCCUUCUUUUAGUUCAAGCCGUCAACAAUGGUUUUUGUAGUAUAUUCUAUAUACUACCGGCAAAAGUAAAAAAACUGACCUGAAUAGUAAAAUCGCAAGAUUUAGACUCAAAUAGCUUGAUGAGAGGAUACAACAUUUGUGGAUCAUUGCGAAUUAAUUGGAUAAUACGCCUAAACCUUACCUACGCUUGUAUAAUAUGAAAAAUUAUGAUUAGUAAAACAAUGGGAGACCACUUACAAAAUUUACCUUAUUACAAACACUGCACGGCUGUCUUACAGAUCUUAUUUUUAAAUGUUUGGUUAAUUCCAAUAAAGAUCGAAACUUUGUAUUCCAGUUGAUAAUCAAGUACUUUUUUACUACCGUUUAAAUAACGGCAUAAAAAUGUUUUCUUUUUAAGAUAUACUCUGUGGUUACUAUUUUCUAUAAGAAAAAUGAAAAAAAAGUACGUCUAAGUCUUUGUGGUUUUUACGCGUGGGGCUUUUUUGUGUGAUAUAAUGAAAAUAACAAAGAGUAGCUUAAUACGAAAGAUUUAGUCCAAUCCUAAAAAUAUUUUCUCAGUUCGGAUUAUUGUUUGCAAUUUAACAAUAUGAAGUAAGAAUAAAAAGUAAUGAUAGGCAAGUAUACUAUCGUGAAAAUAAACAUAUCCUUUUUACAUAUCGCCCAUCACCUCAGAAAAAUUAAUUUUAAUUGUAGCCUUUA
rnacentral:rRNA from 1 species